rnacentral:lncRNA from 1 species
GAACUUUAAGGUGUUGGUGUUCUUGCGAGGGUUUCUGAUGGACUAGCUGCUAUUGCCGCCAAUUGCAGAGACUUUUUAGGGGAACAGAUAGUGAGCUUAGCCUUAUUGGAAGAUUAGCUGCGGUGCUUGUGCUGGUAAUUUGAAUUCGGCCGAGAUAUCGUUCUAACAAUUGAAGAUGCACUAGACGCUCUGUACGGUUGCCGAGAUAUCAGUAGAUCUGUGUUUUGUAUUCGGCCAACCAUUAACAUAAGUUCAAGAAAAUGAUGAAGAGUGUGAUGGCUUGGUGAAAUCAAAGAGGGCAUUUACAGAUUUCUAUUGCUUAAAAAGUGUGAUGGGUUGAUGAAAUCAUAUUUUCGUUCCGAUUUUGGUCAAACAUAAAGGUCAACAAGACUGAAAAGCUUUCUAUGUUUGAUGUAGCAAUGAGGUACAGAGAAGCUGGACUCGACACAAUCGUUUUGGCUGGAGCUGAAUAUGGAAGUGGAAGUUCACGAGACUGGGCUGCUAAAGGUCCAAUGCUAUAGGGGGUGAAAGCGGUGAUAGCCAAGAGUUUCGAGAGAAUCCAUAGGAGCAACUUGGUUGGAAUGGGUAUCAUUCCACUUUGUGAUGAUCUGUUUUUUUUUAUUAUGGACAAAAAUCUGUAAGAACUUGGAGUCUUGAAUUGAGAGAUAUCAAGGGAGGUUAGGGUUUUACUUAUAUUGCUUUCGGCUGGUAGUAUGCUAAGGCAGAGGCACCUUAUGUAGCCAAAGCUGAGAAAAUGAAGGCCGAGUAUGAGAAGACCAUGGAAGCCUACAACAAAAAGCAGCAAGAAGAAGAUCAUAAGCAAAGAAAAGCCCGUGGACAUUAGAGUGAUGUAUCACGCGAGUUUGAUUGCAGAAAAUAAAUGAAAGCAAAAAGAAUUCUUCUGGAUUGGUUUCCCGGGUUUUUUUAAUCACAAAACAGAUCAAAUGACGUGAAUCGCAGUCAAGCGCAUGGCUAUGCGAGUUAAUAUGGUCAAGGGACUGAUAGGGGAUGUGGUCAUGGGAAUGAUCAGGCUAGGAGAAGCUGAAACUAUCUAGGAAUUGCAUCGAGAGAUCUUAGAGAUCAACUAUAGCGAGAAAGAGAAAAGAAUGAGACAUGGAUCCUCGGAGACGAGUUAAGUAUGAGGAUGAUGAUUCUGACAAAUCCAAGUCUGAGGUUAACAACGAGGAGGACAGUGAUGAUGAGGUGGAGGACGAUGACUAAGU